rnacentral:lncRNA from 1 species
UUGUUUCCCGAUUUCCGAUUUAUGACGACUGACUAAUUGAACAAAUCAAAUCAGUCCUGGCCCGGCCGAGCACUUCCAUUUGUCAUCAUCAAAUCAUCGAGGGGCCCACAGAUAUCGCUUUUAUCCCGAAGGUAAAAGGAAUGGAUAAACUUCGACUCAUAUGGCUUGUUCUACUACUUGUUGAAUCAUACACAAAGGCACGUUUUAUAGCACCGAGUUACCAAAUGCGUUUUCGUGCAAUCAAUGUACUAUCAACUCAUAGUAACAACUCAUAUCUCUAGGUUUGAAGAAUAUAAGAUAUUAUCGUCUCAUGAUCACUCGUGAUAAAAUCCAUGAAGUGAUUCCAAUGAGCGCGGGUUGAAUCCAAUACUCAGAACUUAUGAGCACUCAUGAGUGUUGUAGCCCUUUGUCCAACACCUUAGACCUCUACAAGCCAACCCAUGACAGUCUUAAUUCAUAUCUACUUCCAACAUAUGACCGACUGUGGAUGGUUUGAAUAACUUAGUCAUUCCGGAAGAAUAACCUAGUUUAUUCGGGAAGUCAAAACAUGCAAAGUGAAACACAAUAAUAAUUGAAUCCAAUAUGGUAUCAAAACUUAUGAACAUAAAUAAAACACCUUUUAUUUAUCACCAUAUGAUUACACAUUAUUCAUUGUAUACUGUUUCAGCUAUCAACUUUAUUCUUGAAUUUAAAACAAUAGUUGUCCCAUGCUCCAAGCAUGUACACUAUGUUUUCUUAAACACUAGUCAUGCCACACACCAAGUAUGCAUACUAUGUUUGUCUAUGAUCUUUACUUUGUGAACUAGAUCAAUUGAACAUAACUUCAAUGAUUCUCUUUUCACACUCCCAAAUCCUUACUGCAAAUGCAAGAAUUCCAAAUUCAUGCCAUUUACUGAAAUCUGUUAGAUUCUAAACUUAUAUGCAUUGAUCCUCUUGUAAUGAUUAUGCACAAAGUCAGAAAGACUUGACAACAAUCAUUACAGAGUAUUCCAAAGGAGAUCAGCUCCUUGGAAACAUCCUUCUUGCAUUAAGUUUCCUAAUCUUAAACAGAUUGAAAAUUCUAACUUUGAAACAUUUCCAGAUUCCAUUUUGACUAUCACUUCUGAACAAGAGUUGCCUCCUUACAGAUUAUGUCAAUAUGGUCCUUCCAGAAUUAUCACUAUACUUCCAACUGUCCUUGAGCAACCAAUCUUUGGUAAACCUUAGAUUGUCCUCGACAAUUGUUUAAUCCUUUUAGUCAUAUCCAGUUCUAAACCUUUUCCCUUCUUAAUGCCCCAGGCAUUUGGAAAAUUUUAGAACGGAUGAAUAUAGCACAUGUAAUCGAUCCUAUAUCCGAAGCAUAUGGGACACGAUUCAUGAUGUCUCACAUAAAGACUAAACCAGUCUUUUGCUAUAACAUUUCCAUUUCAAUUUGCCAAGUUCUCAUAAUUCAGAUUAUGAAAAGGGAUGCCGUAAUCAUAAUCGAAUUUUAGAACGCAAAUAAUGGACCCAUAUACAGAAUUUCCUUAUGUUGAGCCAUUCCAACAUGAAAUUCAUAUAUAUCCUUGACUAAAUGAUUAAAACCUCACGAUCUAAGCUUAUAGAUUUGAGAUGAAGUAUAAUUUCCUCUCCCUUAAUUAUAGCAAAACAACUUUUUCCCAAUUGAAACUUUUGUUUUCUAUAAUUAACAUUGCUAACUUGCAAUACUUAUCAUAAUUAUCAUGCUCCCACUAACAUGAUGAUUAUUAGCAUAACACUUAUGCUCCCACUAGCUUUGACAUGUACUCAGAAAUCAGCUGGACUUCUAGAAAUCAAUACUUCAUUGACUUUCUUACCAAAGUUCAGAUUUCUGAUACUAGAUUGUUUUGAUAAAACUGUAUCAAAAUCAUACACCUUCCCUUAGAUAGCACACUUGUGUAUCUAAACAAUUAUGAAGAGGGAUGCCGUAAUCAUAAUGUUUAGACCUUUUUGCCACUUCUCACAAGUCCAAAUUAGUGUGCCGGUUAACCACACGCGCUCCACUAACGACUUUGAGAAUGCAAAUAUCACAAUUGCUAUCUAGCUAAAAUCUACUUAGUGAAAGUGUUUCCUCACCAUCAUUUUCAUGAAUCGGAGAGAAACCUUAUGACACUUAGAUUUAAUGGUGUAUGUGUUCUUAUCCAUGUGAAUUGUCAAAAUCAUAGUCACAAGACAAGGAUAAUGACAAAUCCAAACUCAUAUGGACUGAACUCAAUCUUAAUUUCUUGCCACCUGGCAGCUCAAGGGCCUACCAUUGCUUCCAAGUUGUUGUGCAACAAAUUGAGAACUCUAAGAACUCAUAUGCAAAGCCAACUUUAACUGGAAUGGGCACAGAAUAUGUCAACACGAUAGGUUAUGAACCUCAAGUUGUGUGCUAGUGAAGAACUUUAGGUUUUAUUCUUGAUUAGUUCUUGAGACUUUCAAGACCUUUAAGACUCCCACUGUCCUCUUGACCUAUAAGACUCCCUUGUCAAACAUCCAAGAGAUAGUGCGGAUUCUAAUCAAGACAAACACUUCACACAAUUGGCCUUAGUUGGUCUUUGUUUUAUCCAAAACAUCACAACUUACCAAUUUCAAAUGUACAAGAGUAGAAAACUUUUACUCUUACAUUUGACAAGUGUUUUAAACCUUCUUUAAGACAUGUCACUCAAGUUACAAUCUUGGAGUAUGACUCUAAGACUUGUAUUGGAACGAAGUAUGACUCAUCUUCUUGAUUUAACCAUUUCAACAAUUCAAGUUCCUCUUCUUAGUCAUAAGAAUGCACUAAGAUUUCCUUAGAGAACUAAUUUUGAUAUGGUUUCUUAAUCAUUAAGAUGAUCACAAAACUGAUACUAAAGUACUCUCCCAUCUUUUCAGAUUUGAGAAACUUUUAUCCUUCUGCCUUAUUUGAUUCUUCUUAUUCGCCCUGCCAUACAUUGGAACCUUUUCCAAUGUCUCAGAGUUACACUUAAGCUUGUAAGUAUAAUCAUAUUUACUGAGCUUUAGUAAACUAUGACGAAUAGUCUUAUCAAUCUUUUGUGGUGGACUUAAUCAGUGCACAAGAAUGUGUACUCGAUCCCUUAGUCCUUUACUUGACUCACACAUCCAUGUGGCCGAGUAAUUAGUCUUAAUUUUCCAAAACUUGAAAGUUCUCAUUCAUCAUGCUAUACAACUUGCAUGAUUCCAAGUUCCGGUCCAAUUGAAACUUGGGUGAUGAGAAUCUUUCCUUAUUUGGUAAAUCUAGACAUUACCACAAAUGAAAGAAUCAAUUUCAUAUUUCCACUCUUGCUCUUAAUGGAAUCAUAUAAGCAACAAUUUUUCCUCAAAUGCCAUUGUAAGGAUAUUUUAAAAUAAAUAAAAUCAAAAAUUUUCUUUUAUUUUAAAACUUUGCGGAAAAACUUAUCCUUACAAUCCAUAUGAAAACUUGUUGUUAUCUAUUCCUAAGCAAUAUCUCAUAACUCCUAAGAAGUUGCUCAAGAAUCCGAUCUUCAAACUAUGCGAUAGAAAUCCAUCUACGCCAUCAGAUUCAGCAUAUUCUUUCUUUAAGUUUCUUCACUUUUCUUUGAUUCUUAAAACAUCACCAUGUGACCCAGUCACAUCAUGUAUCAGGAAUCUCAGAAUAGAAACUUAACAGAGUUAGAUAGUGGACUUUACCUGAAGUAGAGUCAAACUUAUUGACUUUAACAUCCUUAGGUAAAUUUGGCAGCUUCGCAACCAAUGCCCCUUCCUUUGGCAAUAUAAACAUAUGGACCCUUUGAUAAUGGUACACGAGACUAUCACAGACUUAGCUUUUCUCUUUACCAUUUGGUCAACCGAGUUGACUAUGGCCGAUCCCUUUCCAUUGGGAAGAGAAUGCUUUACUGGAUAUCCAAUGUCAUCAUUGUCAAUGUCCAUAAAGUUUUAGGAAGUUGAUCUUAGCAAAUAGAUAAGAUCAUUAAGGGUCUUGUCAUAGUCUGUUUCAUAGGUGUCCCAAAGGAACUCACUAUGUGACUUAGAAAGUGAUUGAACCACCAACUUUCUCAAGACUUUGACACCCAACUCUCCCGGCUUGUCAAUAUGUGACUACAUCUCCAAGAUGUGAUCACACCUAGACCUUGCCUUGCCAAUAGGGCUUGAGUGACCUUAAACUUUUCAAGAACUUGUGGGUUAGGGAGAAUAAUUGGAGGAGGAGAAAGAAGUAUGAUAUCCAUGGGACAUCAUCUUCAUUAGGAAACCUUGUUUCAAGAGAUUUGGGAAGAUCAUAGGUGUCUAAACCAGACAUCUUUUGGGAGAUAUUCAAGAUAGUUGAUUUAAAGUCCUUAAUAUGACACCCAAUAUGAAAUAUUAAGGCUAGGACCCAACAAACUAUUUUAUAACUUAGAAGAGGUAUGCCGUAAUCCAAGCUAUAAAAUAUUUGAAGGUAGGUGAAUGACGAUUCACCAAUUUCCACCAAGAUAAACGAAAUGUAUUAUUAGGUUUUAAUUGGUUUUGAAACUCCUAGAUCUUUGAGAUUCAUUGAACUGUUCAAAGGCAUGUUUCAAUCUCGAGUGUGCCCUUCAGGUUUUGUGACUGGGAUGCCGAGGAUCACAAAACAAGGUGUGAAGUAACCAUGCAAAUCACUUGGUACCCUUAAUAAAUUACCCCUCAAUCGAUGUGCCGGUUAACCACACACGCUCCAUCGAUACUAUGAUAAAUAUUAAGUCACCCUUUACCUACCUUGUUAAGUCCAAGUUAGUGUGCCGGUUAACCACACACGCUCCACUAACGACUUAGACAAAGUGUAAAGUGUAAUUUCAUGGAUUAGCACCUUAUUCACAUUUUUCCUAAGUAACUAAGAUUGGGUAUUAUUAAGAGUUUAGUUACUUAGUAUUAUCAUUAAUACUUUUAAUGAAGGGAGAAUUCUAGUCCUGUCAAACCCGUUCGGCUAACGACCCUCCACCAGUCAAGCAAGCGGUGGGUGAGAGUGGACACCCAUUAAGUUGCCAUUUUAUAGGCAACAACCUUAUACCCACCUUAUAGACCGGCUUCGUGAAUGAGGCGUACUAGCGGUAAGACUGACUUUACUCUUAUACAUAUAUAUAUUAUUAACUUAUAAUAUUAUAAAGUAUAAGGGUUGAAUUUUAACUUUUAAAAUUCUAAGGGCUAACUUGGAAUUAAAGUAUUCAUAAGUGAAAACUUUACAAAUUCCAAAACUUGAGGGCAAGUUUUGAAACUAUUCAAAACUAAUUAAUUCCAUAACUUAUGUGUUUAAAGUAGUUUUAAUCCAAAAACUCUUCAAGUUCCAUAACUUGAGGACAAGUUAUGGAAGACUUUAAACUAAUAAAAGAAUUAACUUUUCUUUAUUUUAUAACUUAUGGAAUUAAUUAAGGUUACACUUUUUUUUUUUUUAUUUUAUUUUAUUAAAUGAAGAGACUCUUGGUCCUCCAUAACUUGAGGACAAGUUAUGGAGUCAUAAAACCAUUUAAUUAGAACUAGACUCUUCAUUUUUGUAACCUUUGCCAAUUUUUAUGAGUUUUAUGAUUCUUAAAUGUGACUUUUCAUAUAACUUGAGGACAAGUUACAAAAACACAUUUUAGAAUCAAUUCUUAGAUUAAUUUGGAUUAAAACCAACUAUCACAUAAUUUUAUUCAUUAAUCUAAAUUCACUCAUAAAACAAGGUAACACAAAAAACUUUUGGUGAUCCAUAACUUAUUCUUAAGUUAUGGAAUCCUUUAAAACAUUAACACCAAAUUUUGUAACUCCAAAAAAACUUUGAAUCAAUUUUUUUUUUAAAACCUUUUCAUAUCCAUAACUUAUGGAGGUUUCAAAAAAUAAAACUCUUUAGAUCAAACUUUUAAAACUAAUAAAAUAAUCAUAUUAUUUUAUCUUUUAUUAAAUUUGACCUAAUUCAACUCAUAAAGCAAAUUAUUCAAAUUUUACAAAUAAUUAGUUUUUCACAAGAACAAGUAAUUAUCUUAAAAUUUGACAAACUUCAUGUUUUUUUUUUUUUUUUUUUUCAACUUUGAAAAUAAAAUAUUUGCAUCAAUAUAACAGAAAACAACCCGUGGCUCUGAUACCACUGUUGGGUUUUGAGCAUUCUAACACUUCCUAAGUGUACAUGCAACCCUAAAUACCUUGGAUCUAUGUUUUCUCUAUUAUACAUGCAAAUAAGAACUUCCAAGGUAUUAUCCUAAUCUAGCAUACAAAACAAUAACUAUAGCAAGAUAGAAUACAUACCUCUUUGGUGUAGAAAGUCUUCAUGAAGCUUGAGUGCCUAGUGCCCCAAGUGUGACACCUCAAAUGGAAUCACAAUCAUCAAAACACUUAGAAUGACUUGAGAGAAUUCUACACUCAUCAAAAUCGGCUAGCCCUUUCUUCACUAUCUCUAGUGGCCGAUUUUUCCUCAAUAAUAAGAUGCUUAUAUAGUUACACAAUUAGGGUAAACUCUUAAUUGUCAUGGCUUUCCAUUUCCUUGGAUCCAUGGGUACAAAUACACCAUGGAGCAUCCAUGGACCAUCCUAUGGGUUUUAGCCCAACUUGAUUAUCCAUGGAGCAUUAGCCCACUAUACAAGUAUGGAUGAUUUACACAAUCAACCCAUAUAUUUAAUUAGUCUUCUUUUGAUCACUUAAUUAAUCCUAGAUUAAUUCUUGAUCAAUACUAAUUAAAUAAUCUUAUUAUUCUUAUUAUUAAUAUACUAGAACUUAUAAUAUAUUAAUAACCAUAAGUGUCUUAUUUCUCUCAUUAUAGUCUAUCCAAGUGCAUGAUGGUAUGCAACCCAAAUGGACCAUGCCGGGUCGGGUCAAGUCUUACCAAUUAUAGUUAUGGACUUAGACAUUAAUCCAACAGUCUCCCACUUGGAUAAGUCUAAAACUAUUAUUGCGUAUGACUUCAGGAACCAACCGGCAAUCGUAGCUCUCAAAAGCUUCUGUCGAACUCUGACCUUGUAGAUGAACUCUGACCUUUGUCAGUGACUUGUCCAUUAGAUAAGGGAUCAUAUAUUCCUCCAUUCUAGAUAUCAUAUGGACUGAGACAUGGAUUAUAAUCAUUCUCUCUGUNUUUCCGAUUUAUGACGACUAACUAAUUGAACAAAUCAAAUCAGUCCUGGCCCGGCCGAGCACUUCCAUUUGUCAUCAUCAAAUCAUCGAGGGGCCCACAUAUAUCGCUUUUAUCCCGAAGGUAAAAGGAAUGGAUAAACUUCGACUCAUAUGGCUUUUUUUACUACUUGUUUAAUCAUACACAAAGGCACGUUUUAUAGCACCGAGUUACCAAAUGCGUUUUCGUGCAAUCAAUGUACUAUCAACUCAUAGUAACAACUCAUAUCUCUAGGUUUGAAGAAUAUAAGAUAUUAUCGUCUCAUGAUCACUCGUGAUAAAAUCCAUGAAGUGAUUCCAAUGAGCGUGGGUUGAAUCCAAUACUCAGAACUUAUGAGCACUCAUGAUUGUUGUAGCCUUGUCCAACACCUUCGACCUAGUGUCAGAUCCCUUGGGUUUCUUCCUCAAAACCCCAUAAACAUGCUUUGCCUCUGCCUUCCUCUUCCUGAGGUUCUCUAAAUCAAUCUCCCUCUCCCUCGUUCUGGUAAUCAUGGACUCCAGGGUCAGGCAGGCUGAGUAGUUACAUGAUCCCGAAUAUCAACCCUCAACAUGUCAUGAUAGCAGGUCUUCCACAUCUCUUCAUCCCCUGCAUACUGAGGUACCAACAAGGCCCUCUCUCGGAACUUGGCGGUGAUCUCUACC